GUACUUGCUUUCGAGUGCUUUCCAAAUUUCUCCCGGAGAUUUCAUUGGAGUAAAGAGAUCAUAUAAGCGAUCCGAUAAAGUUUUCAGAAUAUGCCCACUGCAUAUCAGUUCAUCCUCUUGUCGCUUCUUCCUAUCAGCAAUUAUCUUCUCGGUGUCUUUAUCGCUUGGUUCAGGAAACGGCUGCAGACCCGGAUCAAGAAGAUAGGCUAAGUUCAAAACAGUAAGGAGAAAGAGGAUCUUAUCUUUCCAGCGAGCGAAAUUGGUUCCAUCGAAUUUUUCCAACUUCCAGACAUCUUGAUUCAUCACUUUGUGUUGUUAGGGACCGUGAAGGAGUUUGAUUGAUUCCAGUUUCGGUGGAUAUUCUGAAAAUAUCUAACUGAGGGUGGACAUCUAUACUUCUUCUAUUAUUUGUUUUCGUUAUGUAGUUGCGAGGCAGUGGGGAUACUUUCUCUGGGAAUGUCAAGGCAUGAUACUAGGAGACGUACUGGUACUGGGAGAGGUGGUAACGGAAAUGGUGGUCUUGUUGAUGGAGAUGAACCACAAUUAGGAAAUCAGACUGUGAUAUGAAUAUGGCGCAACUGACCCAGUUAAUAGCCCAAGCACUCGCUGCUGCUAAGAAUCAAAAUGUUGGACAGGUCAAUAAUCAUCAGAACCAAGGACCGCCUGCUGAAACUAAGGAAGAUAGGUAUGGAAAGGUUCAGUUUCAGUUCAAGAAGUUGAACCCGGAAGAGUUUUCUGGAAAGUUUGAUAACCCAAUGAUAGCCCAUGAAUGGAAGGAUGAGAUAGUUUUAGGGCCAUGAGACCUUCUUGCAGGGAAGUCUUUAAGCAGAGAUUAGCUACCUUUGAGCUCACUGGAUAUGCUCAUACUUGGUGGACUUCAUCUUCACGUGGAUUGGAUCAUGCCACCCUUGUUAGAGCAUUGCUCGGUUGAACCCACCAAGCGUUGGUAUGUCAAGUUUGGUUGUCAUUUUUAGUGAAUCAAAACUCAUGUUAAGAGUCGCUUGAUU